UGGUUCUGGCAUCGAUGAAGAACGCAGCGAAAUGCGAUAAGUAAUGUGAAUUGCAGAAUUCAGUGAAUCAUCGAGUUUUUGAACGCACAUUGCGCCCUUUGGUAUUCCGAGGGGCACGCCCAUUCGAGCGUCAUUUCACCACUCAAGCCUGGCUUGGUGUUGGGUCCACGGGGGCGACCCGGACCCCAAAAUGUCGGCGGGAAAGCUCCGAUCUCAGCGUUGUGGCAAUCAAAUCCGCUGGCGAGACGGGCUGUCCGUGCUGUUAAAUUUCCAUCACAGGUUGACCUCGGAUCGGGUGGGGAUACCCGCUGA
rnacentral:misc_RNA from 1 species